AGAGUUUGAUCAUGGCUCAGGAUAAACGCUGGCGGCGUGCAUAAAACAUGCAAGUCGGACGAGCACCCUCGGGUGCUAGUGGCGGACGGCUGAGUAACACGUAAGUGACCUGCCCCCGAGUGGGGAAUAACUGCUCGAAAGAGUGGCUAAUACCGCAUACGCUCGCCCCUUCGGUGGGGUGAGCAAAGCAGCGAUGCGCUCGGGGAUGGGCUUGCGGCCGAUUAGCUUGUUGGUGGGGUAACGGCCUACCAAGGCGAUGAUCGGUAGCUGGUCUGAGAGGAUGAUCAGCCAGACUGGGACUGCGACACGGCCCAGACUCCUACGGGAGGCAGCAGUUAGGAAUUUUGCGCAAUGGACGAAAGUCUGACGCAGCAACGCCGCGUGGAGGACGAAGGCUCUCGGGUCGUAAACUCCUUUUCUAAGGGAAGAUGGUGACGGUACCUUAGGAAUAAGCCCCGGCUAACUACGUGCCAGCAGCCGCGGUAAUAC
rnacentral:rRNA from 1 species